rnacentral:rRNA from 1 species
UACGAAGGGGGGCUAGCGUUGUUCGGAAUUACUGGGCGUAAAGGGCGCGUAGGCGGUGUGUCAAGUCAGGCGUGAAAGCCCCGGGCUCAACCUGGGAACCGCGCUUGAGACUGGCACGCUCGAGUUCGGGAGAGGAUGGUGGAAUUCCCAGUGUAGAGGUGAAAUUCGUAGAUAUUGGGAAGAACACCGAUGGCGAAAGCAGCCAUCUGGACCGACACUGACGCUGAGGCGCGAAAGCGUGGGGAGCAAACAGG